UACGUAGGGGGCAAGCGUUGUCCGGAAUCAUUGGGCGUAAAGCGCGCGUAGGCGGCCCGGUAAGUCCGCUCUGAAAGUCCAGGGCUCAACCCUGGAAAGCGGGUGGAUACUGCCGGGCUAGAAUCCGGAAGAGGCGAGUGGAAUUCCUGGUGUAGCGGUGGAAUGCGCAGAUAUCAGGAGGAACACCAAUAGCGAAGGCAGCUCGCUGGGACGGUAUUGACGCUAAGGCGCAAAAGCGUGGGGAGCAAACAGG
rnacentral:rRNA from 1 species